GUCGAGAAUCUUUCACAAUGGGGGCAACCCUGAUGGAGCGACGCCGCGUGGAGGAUAAGGUCUUCGGAUUGUAAACUCCUGUCAUGCGUGAACAAGGUUGCUUGGUUAAUACCUGGGCAAAUUGAUGGUAACGCAAGAGGAAGAGACGGCUAACUCUGUGCCAGCAGCCGCGGUAAUACAGAGGUCUCAAGCGUUGUUCGGAAUCACUGGGCGUAAAGGGUGCGUAGGUGGCGUGGUAAGUCUGAUGUGAAAGCCCGGGGCUCAACCUCGGAACUGCAUCCGAUACUGCCAUGCUAGAGUACUGGAGAGGUGACUAGAAUUCUCGGUGUAGCAGUGAAAUGCGUAGAUAUCGAGAGGAAUACCAAAGGCGUAGGCAGGUCACUGGACAGUUACUGACACUGAGGCACGAAGGCCAGGGGAGCGAACGGGAUUAGAUACCCUUGUAGUCC
rnacentral:rRNA from 1 species